AAUGGGAGUGCCAAGAACUUGGUUAAGCCAGGAGGGCUUGCUCCUUUUGGUGUCAAUGGUGUUGUUUAUGGAGCAGCUAAAGUUUACUUCAGUUAUAUCGGCUACGAUUCCGUUUCAACGAUGGCAGAAGAGAUCCAAAACCCUUCAAGAAGCCUUCCUGUGGGCAUUGUGGGUUCUGUUCUCAUAGUCUGUGUGCUAUAUUGCCUCAUGGCCUUGUCUUUGUGCUUGGUGGUGCCUUACAAUAUGAUACCCAAAGAUGCAUCCUUUUCCAUUAUUUUCCAAAAGAUUGGGUGGAACUGGGCAAGCAAUGUGGUUGGGGCUGGAGCAAGUUUGGGAAUAGUAGCUUCUCUCCUGGUUGCCAUGCUAGGCCAAGCAAGGUACCUUUGUGUCUUUGGAAGGGCUCGGCUUGUGCCUUCUUGGUUGGCCAAGGUGCAUCCUUCCACAGGCACCCCAUUGAAUGCUACACUCUUCUUGGGGCUUUGCACAGCUUCAAUUGCACUCUUCACUGACCUCAGCAUAGUUCUUGAAAUGAUCUCCAUCAGCACAUUACUGGUGUUCUACCUAGUAGCCAAUGCUCUCAUCUACCGACGAUAUGUGAUCGUUAACCAAAACCCACCUUCACAUACCCUCCUGUACCUCUUCCUCCUCUCAUGCAGUGCAAUUAGCUUCUCCAUUUCAUGGAAACUUAAAGAACAAAGAUGGGGUUUAUCUCUAUUUGGUGUGGUUAUGAUUGCCAUUACAGCUUUCUUUCAAAACAAGAUAUCUUCCAUUAGCCAACCAAAUGAAAAAUGGUCAGUGCCAUUCAUGCCAUGGCCAGCUGCAAUAUCAAUAUUCCUUAAUGUGUUUCUCAUGACCACAUUAAAGCUGCUGUCUUUCCAGAGGUUUGCUCUAUGGGCAUGUUUGAUAACUACGUUUUAUGUGUUAUACGGUGUACACUCAACUUAUGAAGCUGAAGAGAUAGAAGUGGGUGCUGAUGAAAUACAACACCCACCAGUUCAGCAACAAAGUAAGCUAGAAAUUCAAGUGCUAUAACAACCAAAAAGAAUUACUCUAUCCCUUUUUUUUCCUUCUGUAAUUAUCUCUUACUGCCUUUUUUAAGCACUUUGUUUUCAGUUCUUGGGAUAUUGUCGCAAUGUGGAUAUUAUAUAUGGAAACUCUCUUGAGCAAAUAUAUAUAUUAGCACAGCUAAAUGGAAACAAAAUAAAGUGAAAUAAAAACAAGGAAAAAAUGCAUUUGAGAGAGA
rnacentral:misc_RNA from 1 species